rnacentral:rRNA from 1 species
CUGGACUUGACAUGUUAGUGAAACUUCGGUGAAAGCCGAAGCCUCUGCGAGCUUGCUCAAGGACACUAUCACAGGUGAUGCAUGGCUGUCGUCAGCUCGUGUCGUGAGAUGUUCGGUUAAGUCCGAUAACGAGCGCAACCCCUAUCCUUAGUUGCCAGCACGUAAUGGUGGGGACUCUAGGGAAACUGCCCGGGAUAACCGGAAGGAAGGUGGGGUCGACGUCAAGUCAGUAUGUCCCUUACGUUCAGGGCUACACACGUAAUACAAUGGAGAGUACAGAGGGUCGCGAAAUCGCGAGAUGGAGCUAAUCUCAAAAAAUUUUCCUAAGUUCGGAUUGCAGUCUGCAACUCGACUGCAUGAAGCAGGAAUCGCUAGUAAUCGCGCAUCAGCAUGGCGCGGUGAAUACGUUCCCGGGUCUUGUACACACCGCCCGUCACGCCAUGGAAGUUGGUAGCGCCCAACAACAGUGCCCUAACCUUCGGGAAGGAGCUGUUUAAGGUGAGAUUGGUAACUGGGGCGAAGUCGUAACAAGGUAGCCGUACCGGAAGGUGCGGCUGGAUUACCUCCUUU